rnacentral:rRNA from 1 species
AUUGAACGCUGGCGGCCGGCCUAACACAUGCCAGUCGCACGAGUGGCGGACGGGUGAGUAAUGUCCGGGAAAAUGCCCGAUUGAGGGGGAUAACUACUGGAAACCGUAGCUAAUACCGCAUACCAUCGGAUUUGCCAGAUGGGAUUAGCUAGUAGGUGGGGUAACGGCCCACCUAGGCGACGAUCCCUAGCUGGUCUGAGAGGACGACCAGCCACACUUGAACUGAGACACGGUCCAGACUCCUACGUGAGGCAGCAGUGGGGAAGAUUGCACAAGAGGCGCAAGCCUGAUGCAGCCAUGCCGCGUGUAUGAAGAAGGCCUUCGGGUUGUAAAGUACUUUCAGCGAGGAGGCGUUACUCGCAGAAGAAGCACCGGCUAACUCCGUGCCAGCCGCCGCGGUAAUAC